rnacentral:rRNA from 1 species
GACGAACGCUGGCGGCGUGCUUAACACAUGCAAGUCGAACGGAAAGGCCCUGCUUUUGUGGGGUGCUCGAUUGGCGAACGGGUGAGUAACACGUGAGUAACCUGCCCUUGACUUUGGGAUAACUUCAGGAAACUGGGGCUAAUACCGGAUAGGAGCUCCUGCUGCAUGGUGGGGGUUGGAAAGUUUCGGCGGUUGGGGAUGGACUCGCGGCUUAUCAGCUUGUUGGUGGGGUAGUGGCUUACCAAGGCUUUGACGGGUAGCCGGCCUGAGAGGGUGACCGGCCACAUUGGGCCUGGGAUACCGCCCAGAGGCAUACGGGAGGCAGGAGUGGAGAAUAUUGCACACAGCGCGGAGGCCGGAAGCAGCAACGCCGCGUGCGGGAUGUCGGCCUUCGGUUGUAAACCGCUUUCGCCUGUGACGAAGCGUGAGUGACGGUAAUGGGUAAAGAAGCACCGGCUAACUACGUG